ACAGAGCACAUGAACACUUACAUGUAAAAAACAUAACAGCGGCUAUGAAGCCUGAGCCUACCUGUCAACAGAAACCGAAGAUGAAAUGCAGUCAGAAGAAGGGAAUACAUGCUUUAUAUCAUUUAUAGUAUAGUAUCACCUAAUGGAACCUUUUGGAAAGAAACCCUGCAAAGAUUGUUCAAAACACUCUACAGGAUGCAAACAGGAGACCACAUCAUUGCCUAAGCUCUACAUGAAAGAUUACUACAGAGUGCAACUACACAGCUUUGUGUUGACGAUAUCCUACUCAAGACCUGAGAACAGCGCAGUACAAAGAAACAGAUCAUAUAAGCUACUAUACAGCUGUUGCAUGAUGGCCAAAAUGAUACACUAUGUAACUUUGCUAAUUGUAUAUUCUCAAUCACUGCUGCCAUGAAAGAACAUGUUCCACUCACCACUUCUUGAAUUGAC